rnacentral:rRNA from 1 species
AACGAACGCUGGCGGCAUGCCUAACACAUGCAAGUCGAACGAGACCUUCGGGUCUAGUGGCGCACGGGUGCGUAACGCGUGGGGACCUGCCCUUAGGUUCGGAAUAACUCCCCGAAAGGGGUGCUAAUACCGGAUAAUGUCUUCGGACCAAAGAUUUAUCGCCUUUGGAUGGGCCCGCGUUGGAUUAGCUAGUUGGUAGGGUAAAAGCCUACCAAGGCGACGAUCCAUAGCUGGUCUGAGAGGAUGGUCAGCCACACUGGGACUGAGACACGGCCCAGACUCCUACGGGAGGCAGCAGUGGGGAAUAUUGGACAAUGGGCGAAAGCCUGAUCCAGCAAUGCCGCGUGAGUGAUGAAGGCUUUAGGGUUGUAAAGCUCUUUUACCCGGGAUGAUAAUGACAGUACCGGGAGAAUAAGCUCCGGCUAACUCCGUG